CCCAUUCUGAUCCUGGUCCCACUGAAAAUCACGCCAAGAAAUGGACUGGGACCAAACCAAACCAAACCAAACAUGAAAUUCAUGGUCCCACCGGCCAGCCUAUUUCUGCAGCAAUUGAAAGAGCUUGAGACAAACUUGCAGAGUAUUAUAUGAGAAUCAAUCAAUCAUUUGCUGAUUACUAUGCUGUUGCUGCUGUACUUGAUUCCUCUCAUUGAAUCAAUGCAUAUACUUCCGGGGAUUGAACAGCGGAAGAACGACAAAUCUAUGUUGAUAUAGCUCAGACAUACUACAACAACAACUAUUGACAAUAUGAACAGAAUAAUACAUAAA
rnacentral:sRNA from 1 species